rnacentral:rRNA from 1 species
AAAUUGAAGAGUUUGAUCAUGGCUCAGAUUGAACGCUGGCGGCAGGCCUAACACAUGCAAGUCGAACGGUAGCACAGAGAGCUUGCUCUCGGGUGACGAGUGGCGGACGGGUGAGUAAUGUCUGGGAAACUGCCUGAUGGAGGGGGAUAACUACUGGAAACGGUAGCUAAUACCGCAUAACGUCGCAAGACCAAAGAGGGGGACCUUCGGGCCUCUUGCCAUCAGAUGUGCCCAGAUGGGAUUAGCUAGUAGGUGGGGUAACGGCUCACCUAGGCGACGAUCCCUAGCUGGUCUGAGAGGAUGACCAGCCACACUGGAACUGAGACACGGUCCAGACUCCUACGGGAGGCAGCAGUGGGGAAUAUUGCACAAUGGGCGCAAGCCUGAUGCAGCCAUGCCGCGUGUAUGAAGAAGGCCUUCGGGUUGUAAAGUACUUUCAGCGGGGAGGAAGGUGUUG